rnacentral:tRNA from 1 species
CUGCUGGCGGGCCGGCGGGCGACGACCCACUGGGGCUGGCUCGGCGAGCUGGCCCGGUUCGGCGUCGAGCCGGUGGCC